CCUACGGGCGGCAGCAGUGGGGAAUAUUGGGCAAUGGACGCAACCCUGACCCAGCAACGCCGCGUGAAGGACGAAGGCUUUCGGAUUGUAAACUUCUUUUAUCAGGGACGAAGCAAGUGACGGUACCUGAUGAAUAAGCCACGGCUAACUACGUGCCAGCAGCCGCGGUAAUACGUAGGUGGCAAGCGUUAUCCGGAAUGACUGGGGGUAAAGGGCGUGUAGGGGGGAGUGCAAGUCAGAUGUGAAAACUAUGGGCUCAACCCAUAGCCUGCUAUUUAAACUGUUCGUCUUGAGUGCAGGAGAGGCAAUCGGAAUUCCGGGUGUAGCGGUGGAAUGCGUAGAUAUACGGAGGAACACCAGUGGCGAAGGCGGGUUGCUAGACUGUAACUGACGCUGAGGCGCGAAAGCGUGGGGAGCAAACAGGAUUAGAUACCCGUGUAGUC
rnacentral:rRNA from 1 species